UACGGGGGGGCAAGCGUUGUUCGGAAUUACUGGGCGUAAAGGGCUCGUAGGCGGCCAACUAAGUCGGACGUGAAAUCCCUCGGCUUAACCGGGGAACUGCGUCCGAUACUGGAUGGCUUGAGUUCGGGAGAGGUGAGUGGAACUCCGAGUGUAGAGGUGAAAUUCGUAGAUAUUCGGAAGAACACCAGUGGCGAAGGCGACUCACUGGCCCGAUACUGACGCUGAGGAGCGAAAGCGGUGGGGAGCGAACGAGG
rnacentral:rRNA from 1 species